CACCUGGCUCCACCAGUUAACAGUUGCAGCUCUUUCUCUGUCAAAAAGCCACAAACAGAAGCUUCUCUGUAUGUCUAUGUAUUUACAAUAAUAACAAGGAAGAGACGGGGACUCAGAGGUUUGGGUGGCUUGGAGCAUGGGUAGUUUGGGCCGAGUUCUGGCUGUUUCUCACUCUAAUAAGCCGCUGCGCCUGUCAGGCCCUCACAGUUUACAUCACUCAAACGGUAGAUUUGUUGGUUUCAACCGCAAAUUGAGCUCGAAAUGGCGAUCUACGGCGUCCGAACUCGAAUCUUCUUCUUUCGCGCCUUCUGUCGACUCUGAUUCCACUGAUAAAAACGCAGCUGGGUUUUGUAUUAUAGAAGGACCUGAAACGGUUCAAGACUUCGCUAAAAUGGAACUGCAAGAAAUUCGAGAUAAUAUUCGAAGUCGGCGGAACAAAAUUUUCUUACAGAUGGAGGAGGUUCGUAGGCUAAGGAUACAGCAGAGAAUCAAGAGUGCUGAGCUCGGGAUUUUAAAGGAAGCGCAAGAGAAUGAGCUUCCUGACUUUCCAUCAUUCAUCCCCUUUUUGCCUCCUUUGAGUGCAGAAAAUCUUAAGCUGUAUUAUGCUACUUGUUUUUCUCUUAUUGCUGGGAUCAUCAUUUUUGGUGGCCUUUUGGCACCUACUUUGGAGCUUAAGCUGGGGUUAGGGGGAACAUCAUAUGAAGAUUUUAUCCGCAGUGUCCAUUUGCCUAUGCAAUUGAGUCAGGUUGAUCCAAUAGUGGCUUCAUUCUCUGGAGGAGCAGUUGGGGUGAUCUCAGCCUUGAUGGUAGUUGAGAUAAACAAUGUAAAACAACAGGAACA
rnacentral:misc_RNA from 1 species